rnacentral:rRNA from 1 species
UACGUAGGGUGCGAGCGUUGUCCGGAAUUAUUGGGCGUAAAGGGCUCGUAGGCGGUCUGUCGCGUCGGGAGUGAAAACUCAGGGCUUAACCCUGAGCCUGCUUCCGAUACGGGCAGACUAGAGGUAUGCAGGGGAGAACGGAAUUCCUGGUGUAGCGGUGGAAUGCGCAGAUAUCAGGAGGAACACCGGUGGCGAAGGCGGUCUUAC